GCCCUAGUAGCACAGCGGAUAGUGCACUGGUUUCCUAAACCAUAGGUCGGGAGUUCGAGUCUCUCCUAGGGCA
rnacentral:tRNA from 2 species